GGGGUGUGUGUUCACCGGCAUCGACGCUUUGCUCCGACCCAAGCCCUUAUUGACGCAAUGACCCAAGCUCAAGCGGGCUUGAUCAAGUUCAACAGAGAGAAAGACGCACUGACUUUAGCCCUCGGGAAUGAUGAACACGGAGGACGUGUACGAGGCAAAGGCAAAGUUUCGUGGAAAGUAGGGUUUUCCCAAGACAAUGACCCGUACGGUUACAGAAGCCGUAAGAGAAAGACGGACCGGGAUGCAGAUCUUAUGACAAAGUUUGCAUCGGAACUCCAUGAGUUGAAGCAGAGCGUGCAUGAACUAUUGAAAGAAAAAUCGGCUGCAGGGCCGCAUGAAGAUCAUGAAGCGGAUUGCGGAAGCCAGCAGCGGAGAAGCAGCGUGGCUUCCACGGAUGCC
rnacentral:rRNA from 1 species